GGCACCUGUGGUUGAGUUUUAUGCCAGAGUGUUGAUAAUGAGACCUCCUGUUCUGAUCUCAAUAAAUAAACCAAAGGCUAAAGAGUGAAGAUCGAGUCAGGUUAAAGAGUCAUGACCGGAAUAAGUGUUUACAUGGACAUGUUUGAAAAUAACGAUCGGCAUAAACCACCUCUCUUGAUCGGAGUACAAUUUCUUUCCAAUUAAUCCAAACUGGUUCAGGAUCCUCCGAUAUGCAUGUUUACAUGACGCUAUUUUAUUCAGAUCAGGCUUUUAUUCCGCAAGAGAUGGGUCCAACAUUUAGGUCCAGUGCAACUCGUCAGAUUUCAAUUUUUUAAGUUCAACUUGGCUCAGCCAAACUUUGUUAAACCAUUGGAUCAUCUUGUCUACUGCAGAGCUGAGGUAUUUAUUUCCUGGUGCACCUUUCCCCUCCCGUCAUCCCCUGAGCAUUUUCACUCAUCUGAAGAUGGUGAUCAGCCGUCACAGCUGCCAUCACUCCACUCCUUCAUCCGCUCGCCAGCAUCAAUCUGUCACUCUGCUCCCAGACUCACUGCCAGCUCAAGUGUUCGUAUUGAUCGUCUCAUUGACGAGGUGUCUCAUUCAGGUCUGUGUUAUGGUGAUAAAACUGCUGUUUGGACAUUGAUGUGGUCCUCUGAUGUUUCUUUAUUUACACUGACGAUGAACGCCGACAGAUGAUAAAUUAUCUCUCAGCAGGACAACUAAACAUUUCAGCGCUCCCUCAGGUCAGGAGAUUUACACCUAGAACCUGAGUCAGAGUUGACAUAUAGGAUAAUAAACUGAUUAUAUUUAAAAAUCUGUUAUACAGGAUAUGAUUGUUGUCCACAAACAGCAGAGUCUACAUCGUCUUUUUUUGCUGAACCAACAGGAUAAAUUGAACCUCCUGAACCGCCCACCUUUUACUUCACAUUCCCUCCAUCAUCUGCAGCCCCGCUCUCUCUCCCCUCCCCCAUCUGUCACUUUGCCUCCCUCACUCCUUGCUGGCUCUCCCAUGACGUGACUCUAAUAAUAGCUCCCUGAAGUCGGGGCCCGGCAGUACCCAAGGGCCAUGUGUUGGUCUUGAAGGGCACGGCAUGAAUUGGCCACGCUCUUUCCCCUGCAUGCUACUGGGCUUAUAAAUAGCUGUGGAGAAAGAGGGGGAUCUGCACAGGCAUUAUAUAAGCAUCUCGUGUGUUUAUGAAUGGCAGUGGGGGUGGGGGGGAUGGGGUGGUACAUUCAUAAGUCUUUGCUGCUGCAGCUGCCGCUGUAAACACCCUCCUACCACUGCUAAGUCAGCCAUGUGUGAACAAACUGAAAAUUUAAGAACCAAGAGAUUUGCAAACAUCCCCCUAAUUUGAUCAUUUCUGCCCUACGUCUCAAGAAAUCCUCAUAAAUGUGAAGGAUUGUUCAGUAUCUGACACCCUGAGUCGUAGACAGGCAAAUAAAACCAUUUUUAAACACAGUAAAGGUCAGAGUGGAUCUGUCUGAAACAAGCUGUUGGUAUUUGAAUGAGUGAACAUGUUGGUCAUGGACAGAAGGUUCAAUCAGAGACAAUUUAAAGUGAGCAGGCUGUUUUGCCAAAUGGAUCGCAGACCAAAGUCAGAUAAAACCAACCCCUUUCUGUGCAUUGAUUGGUGCUACAUCCCUAUUAACAGCCAUCUCCAUAGCAACAGUCUGCUAUCAAGAAAUAACAGACUGCCGCUAUUAAAUGUUGCAACACAAUGACCGAUCAGAAUUAAGUCGUGAACACAGCUGUUUAAUGAACACUGAUAAAAAUGCCAGAUGUCGCUCUUGAGCUUUCUAAAGUGACCUAAUCAUGCUAAUCCGCUAACAUAACGUGGAGGUUAGCCUGAUGCUAUCUGUCUUCAUGUUGUCACACAAACAUUUAAAACCAUAAAAAGCUGCAGCUUAACACAUUUAGGCUUUAAUGCCAUUUAAUACGAUGCAUGAAUCUGAUGUUGACCACAAUGAUGUGCUAAUGCAACUAAACAGUUCAUUCACAUCCUACUGGAAGGCUAGCUAAUAAGUUUGUAUGUUAACUUGUCAUGUCUUGAACUUCUUUUAAGGGUCUGGGUGUCAUUGAGGUGUACAUCACGGAGGUAUCCAUGGAGAUUUGAAGAUUUAUGAUCAUUUCUUUAUCAUUUACUUGAAGUCAUAAUCACCAUAUUAAUCAUUUUGCACUGCAGACGCUGUAGUUCUUCUGCCUUAGCGUCUCGGUCUGAUUGCAUUUCCAUGAGAAAAUGGUCAUAAAUGUUCUUCCUUGAGCUGCGUCACCCCGCUGCAGUCAAUGGACUCGCCCGGAGGUCUCCGUACAAACAAGUGGCUGCUGGAGGAGAGUGGGUAAGUUGUGUUUAGUCUUUUUCCUAAAAAAAUUAGUCAAAAUUAAAAAGAUGUUUGAUGGCUAGUACUAUGGCUAGGACUCUAUAUGUCCUGUUGAUGAAGUUAGGUGCUGUUCUGAGCAUUAUUUGUGGUUAUAGAGUGGUGUUUAGGUUGAGGUUUGUUUAUGGCUCCUCAGACCGCUGUGUAUUGCUAUCGUGUGGUCAUUACUAAAGUUGGUAGAGAAGCAAGCAGUUGGCAACAUUCAUCUCUCAUAUAAAAUUCAAAAGAAGUGUACAAUGGUAUUGUUUCAGAGUUUCCACCACCUUCACCUUCUUUGAGGUUUUUUUUUUAUGCUAAGGGAGCAGGGAGUAAUGAAAUGAGCAGGGAGGUACGGUGAGUACUAUGAGAUGAUGCCAGUGUAGAAAGUAGAGGAGGGGGGGAGGAGGGAGUGAUGAAGAGCCCCGUGGAAAAGAAGAGCAAGGCUUAAUGAGUGUGUUGCCCCUGAUUCGGGCACAAGCACGAGGCAGGAGAUGACAGGACUGUGUGUUGCCAUGGGGGAUGCAGCGUUGGCCUGCAUGAAGCAGAGGCAUCCCUCCUCCUCCUCCUCCUCCUUACUCUCUUCCUCCUCUUCCUCCCCUCUGAUGCUCAUGGCAUAAAGAACAGAGUACAGAGCAGAGCCACGUACACCCAGCACUGCAGCAGAGCUUUGGCCGUAAGAGCUUCACAGAUCUGAACAUUGGUGCCCAUAGCAAACACAAAACAAAAAAAGGUCCCGACUUCUGUAAAAACUCUGAUCAGUGUAAUCUUGCAAGAAAAUUACUUGGAAAAGUUUGUAAAUUAAAAAAAAAAGUAUUUUUCUUUUACGUGGUCGCAGUAUUCAGUCUGACAGAGAUGGAUGAUUUAAAUGACCAGCUGAUGGCCCAGCUGAUUUCCUCCUAUCUCCUAUUGGUCCUUUGCCUUUAGAGCGCCCUUUUUAAAAGUGCCCUAACCCAGCCUCUUCCUCUGCUUCGACAGCCGACCAGCAACCCACCUCCACCCCAGCUCCACUACCCUUGAAGCGCUCUGGUCAUCACUGCUCUACGCCGCGUUGUUUCUGCCUUCUUGAUACCUUGUGAAGGUGCUCUUCCUGGCUUUUCACGCAUGCUUGCGUGGAGAAUCAGGGGCACCAAACAGAACCUUUAGUGCGCUCCCUGCUAUUGCCUUUUCAUGAUGGCUCGUGGAGGGCAGGAAGGGCUUCUUCCUGCCUCUGGCUUCCACACAAGUGCGUGGAAGGGCAGGGACCCAGAACAGAACUAUACUGCCAAAUUUAACUUUGCACUAUAAAGCUGAAUUUUGGCAAAGUGAUCCUGUCUAAACUUAUAUCUAUGAAGUCUAUUAGAAAGAGACAAUGCAAAGAGUACAUCUUGAAAAAUGUGGGAGUGUCUUAUUUUCAGGGUUUAAUACUUGACCCUCUUAAAUUGAUGCUGCCAACUUAGAGACCGACUUAAAAAUCCACUCGCUUCGUGAGACCGGCAGCUCUGAGUAUUUCUGCAACAUCCAGGGACUUUUCUAUCCCACAGAGAAGACCAGUGUAUUUUCAGAGACUGUUACGAUCUAAUCCCUUGAAAAUGAAGGUAAUCUGUGAAAAAUUAUGUGUUAAUUUUCAUGAUAUCUCUGUUGUCAGGUAGUUAUUCUCAAUGAAGGAUUUUGUUGUUGAUGCAGCUCCAUAGAGAAACAAUGUUAAGGUCUUUUCUUGAGAAUUAGUCUUGAAAAAGAGAGGUGGUCUUAUAAUCAGGGUGGUCAUAUAUGGUACUGUAAUGAUCGGAGCUUUUAUUGUGUGGUUAUUGAAGCCGGAAACAAAGCUAAACCCUCCUGUGUGGGUGAAACGGCUGUUUGUCGUGGCUGAAGGUCAAAGUCAAGGCUAAGCUAAUUCCCAAACACGACUUCAGACUGCAGAGGGAUUAAUGCAGCUGGACGACACAUGCUCACACUCCCUGUGACGAAAACCUGACAAAGACAGGAAGGAGAAGGACUGAAAAAGGCUGAACACACGUUCACACGCAGAUGCUCAUCUGAUGACUUCAUGCUUUUGGCGUUCUGUGAAACGCAGCGCCGUGUUUUAUCUCCUGUUAGAUGAUACUUGCAGGCACAAAGGGGAGGCUGCUGCGUCUAUAACUGGUCCCGUGUUGGAUUACAGCUGCUUCACCGGUGCUGAAACUGAAGAUGGAAGACAGAACAGCGCCUAAAAUCCCUUCUCAAAGCAAGUGGAAAGUUUAAUGUGCACUUGAACUCUUCCCCCUCUCCUCCAUCUGCUGCUCAGCCAAUCAGCAGCUGACGUUGGCAGUCGCUAAGCCCCUGUAGGCCCUGGUUUCCUCGACUGGGAGGCAGUGAUUGGUACGGAUUAGUUUCUUAAUUCACACUCCUAACACCAGAGUAUUAUUUUGAAGAGCAACCUUGUUAUGAAGCCACUGACAGAGCAGUAACCUCAGGACUGUUGCUUCCUCUGAGGGCUGAUUAUUCUGUGUUUAUAAGGAUGCUUAUUAAAGGCGGGGGAGGCAGGAUCUGAGGAAGUGCCAGUUUUUAGGAGAAAUCUUGAAUGUAAACUCUACCCCUCUCAACCAGUUUUCCCCUCAGCUCCUCCUCUCCCCUCCUGCUCUGCUCCAGCAAGCCCCGCCCACAAACAGACGCUCCUGCUCGCUCGUAUCGUUCCAAUUAAAUUCAGAUAUAAUGCAGAUAAAUACUUCAGAUAAUUACAAAUGGAGCCCAGUCAAGGUGAAAGUAAAAAGCAUUGGUGAGACUGUAGAUUCCAGCAAACACAAUGUUUGCAGGACUUCUACAACAAGGAUAAAGUGACAUAGUCCAGGACCCGAGGUCAACAGUUUAGCGGCGCUACAGCAGGUCCUGUUUGACAAGAAACACUUCUGUUACACUUAGCUUACUUUGUUAAAGUGGUUUACCUGUCCAGCAGAAAGGUUACGCGGUCCGUAAGAUCCCGAAGUGUCCCCCAUUGUUUAUGCUGAUGUUGACCCGUUUUUUUUAGCUCUUGUCUGGUCUACCUCCAUUUCAGCGCCCGUUGUUUUGCAAGAGUCUCCGGUAUUUACUUUGUUUUCUUGCUUGUGUUGGCAGUCAUGGCUAAAGGAGGAUUCCGACAAUUUUCCGUACUUUCUAGUUGGUUUCUACCAUCCAAUAUUGUAGCACGCUAACAUUGGGCUCAUGUACGUUAUUGGAGGAUGUGAAGCAUGCCUCACAACACUAGGGAGCAGUGCAUGCUUCACAACCAAUCGGGUUGGGGGAGGUGGAGAAAUCAGAGCGGCGUCAGGAGAAAUAACCAAUUUCUGCAAAAUAACCUCUCUUAGCAUGUGGGUUAAUGUUAGUUCUGUUAGCAAACAAACCAGAGGAAGCUGUUUUGUCCGUCUUUGAAUGACUGCAAUUGUGACCAAACACAAAUAUUUAACAACUAAUCUCAUAUGAUAGCCUAAUGAUAUAAAACGGUGUAGUAAUAUGUGGCAAAUUUGAGACAACAUACAAAAUCUAAAACAAAUGCAAUCACAGAGAAAAAAAAAAUGUUUUACCUAGCGCCCCCCUCAGGCCUGGAGUACUCAUGUCAGGUUUUUCCUGCAUGAUUUUGCAUUUGCAGCGUAUCAUUACUAAUUUGGGACUUUAGUAGGUUUUUAUAAUUUGAUCAUUCGAACAUUUGCAGGACAUUCCUCCCGAUGUAGAUCUUCAGACACUCAGCAAACAUUUUCCAAGUAAGUUUGUGGUUUUAAUCUGUCGUCUAAAGUCUUCUUUAACACAGCAUGAUGUCCAUUUGGUAAAUUAUGGUCUCAUUUAGAUUCAUAUCGACCAUGCGACUGAGGAAGAUUUCCUGUAACUGUGAAUCAGAGAAGUAGUUGUUCAGCAUCUUCCUGUUAUAAAAGACACUCAAGCAAGCUUUUACUUUUUUACACUGCAUACAAAACGCUGCUAAUUUUAGCCUGAAAUAUCAGUCUUACACAAUAACUAACUUUCUAUGACAGUAAACAGUGUGCGAGGAAUUUCCUCCCGUUUUUGUUUUCACUCCUACACACCUGCCUUACAAAAAAAGAUUCACAGUAUUUUCCAUUUCAAGCCAGAUUUAGCACCCUAUUAAACAUCACUUCGCAUAAUUCUCCACUUUCAUUAAUCUCUCACUCUUCUUCAGUUCAUCUUUCGGCUCAAAUACUGUCUUUUCCAGUCAUUUCUGACUCCAAAUGCAGAGUCCAAAACAAACAGAAGUCAGCACCUUUCUCUUCUUAUACUCACUUUAUGGCCUCAGCGAAAGUCAAAGUGGAUUAUAUUCCUGCCCACUGCCUCUCAGAGAUCAGAGGUUUAUAAUAACAUAUGGAUUAAGGCUCAUAAUAAGUCUUUGCCAUGUGUGCAGAUUGGCCGCACAUGCAUGAGUGAACAUAAAGCCACUGUGUUCCUGUUUGAGAGCAGGAUGUGUCUAAUUUCGACCUCAGGCUGGACGUGUGGCAGCUUAUAGACUCUUAUAGUCCUGUACCAGAAAUCCAUAUGUUUUAUAAGCCCAGGAAACACAGGAAGUCAGGACUGAACUGGAUUUGAAUGUUUACGAGAUAUGAAUGAGCGCUGCAGCUGAGUCGAGCUGCAGAGACGUUUGCUCGUCACCCGGAGAGGUUUCGGCAGCCUCGCAUGUUUUCAAACUAAAUUUAGUUUUGAGGAAUUCAGCAGUACGUGUGAAAAACAUUUGGUCAUAGCAGCCGUGCAGAAAGUCAUCCAGCUGUCAGACAGUUACAGUGACAGAACGGCACUGUAACUGCAGAGGGAGGCGAGAGUCUGAAAGACGAGAACACAAAGAUCCCCAGAGACCAAGUCCUUUUUUUUUAUGCAACUUGAAUAAAUCUCUACUUUCUGUUUUUUUAAUUUAGAUCCUGCUACUAAAACACUUUUUAUUGUGCUUUCUGUCAGACGAAGAAGGCAGGAUCUACUUUAAUUGGAAAUAAGACUUCAGACGUAACGUGCCACCUUCAGAGAUGCAGAAACAUCAUUUACAAAGUGUUUAAGAUGUAUUUACACAGGCUGCUUUUAUCUACGAAAGCAGCGGUUAGCUUUAAAACAAAUACUCUGACGUCUUUAUCGCCUACGGUUUUUCCCCUCAGGGUUUCUUCAUGGCAGACACUACUAAGAGCAGGAAACCAUUAUGGAAACACUUUGAGUUACAUUCACAGAGGAAGCUCCCCUCAGAGAAAUACUUCGUUUCAAGGAUGAAAAUUUAGUCUGAGCAAAGAUGACCUUUCAAAAGCCUGCUGGUUAUGAACUGGCAGCUCAACAAACAACCAAUAAGCCUGAUCUAAAGCUGCGUUGAACCUAGACUUUAGGUUGUUUUUUUGAAU